GACGAACGCUGGCGGCGUGCUUAACACAUGCAAGUCGAACGGAAAGGCCCUGCUUUUGUGGGGUGCUCGAGUGGCGAACGGGUGAGUAACACGUGAGUAACCUGCCCUUGACUUUGGGAUAACUUCAGGAAACUGGGGCUAAUACCGGAUAGGAGCUCCUGCUGCAUGGUGGGGGUUGGAAAGUUUCGGCGGUUGGGGAUGGACUCGCGGCUUAUCAGCUUGUUGGUGGGGUAGUGGCUUACCAAGGCUUUGACGGGUAGCCGGCCUGAGAGGGUGACCGGCCACAUUGGGACUGAGAUACGGCCCAGACUGCUACGGGAGGCAGCAGUGGGGAAUAUUGCACAAUGGGCGGAAGCCUGAUGCAGCAACGCCGCGUGCGGGAUGACUGCCUUCGGGUUGUAAACCGCUUUCGCCUGUGACGAAGCGUGAGUGACGGUAAUGGGUAAAGAAGCACCGGCUAACUACGUG
rnacentral:rRNA from 1 species